rnacentral:lncRNA from 1 species
AGCACCCAAUCCAAAUGGAAAAAAAAGUCCAGAGGAAACAUUAAUCAGGUGUGAAUCUUACAGAUGAGAAAAUUGUGAGGGGCAGUAGGAUAGCAGAGGAAAAGCAUCUGUCUGGUGUUUGUUGGAUCACCAAGCCCAGGAGGAUGGGUUGCCUAGCAACUCUCAGUCACUUCAGACCAGUGCUAGGCAACAAGAUGCAAUCUGUCAGCCACAUCUGAUCGGUGUUUUCUCCUGGCUUUUAGAAGACAUCAGCAGUGAGGUUUGAAGUGAUGCUUGACACCACGGUAUAGAACCUCUUGGAAUCCUUGCCACAAUUCUUGGAAGUAACUGUUAUUACUUUUAUUUUCAAAGUGAGGAAAUGGAUAGGAAUGGCCAUGAAGCAUGAGCAUGAACUGAA